rnacentral:rRNA from 1 species
CUGCGAGUGAAGCGGGAUGAGCUCAAAUUUAAAAUCUGGCGUCUUCGGCGUCCGAGUUGUAAUUUAGAGAAGCGUUUUCCGCGCCGGACCGUGUACAAGUCUCCUGGAACGGAGCGUCAUAGAGGGUGAGAAUCCCGUCUUUGACACGGACCCCCGGUGCUCUGUGAUACGCUCUCGAAGAGUCGAGUUGUUUGGGAAUGCAGCUCAAAAUGGGUGGUGAACUCCAUCUAAAGCUAAAUAUUGGCGAGAGACCGAUAGCGAACAAGUACCGUGAGGGAAAGAUGAAAAGCACUUUGGAAAGAGAGUGAAACAGUACGUGAAAUUGUUGAAAGGGAAACGCUUGAAGUCAGUCGCGUCUGCCGGGAUUCAGCCUUACGGUGUACUUUCCGGUGGACGGGCCAGCAUCACUUUCAAUCAUCGGAAAAAGGCGAAGGGAAUGUGGCACCUCCGGGUGUGUUAUAGCCCUUUGUUGUAUACGGUGACUGGGAGUGAGGACCGCCUUUGUAGGAUGCUGGCGUAAUGGCUUUAAACGACCCGUCUUGAAACACGGACCAAGGAGUCUAACAUGCCCGCGAGUGUUCGGGUGGAAAAACCCGUGCGCGUAAUGAAAGUGAAAGUUGGGAAGGCUGUCGCGGCCUGCACCGAC